rnacentral:rRNA from 1 species
GAUGAACGCUGGCGGCGUGCCUAAUACAUGCAAGUCGAGCGAAUGGAUUAAGAGCUUGCUCUUAUGAAGUUAGCGGCGGACGGGUGAGUAACACGUGGGUAACCUGCCCAUAAGACUGGGAUAACUCCGGGAAACCGGGGCUAAUACCGGAUAACACUUUGAACCGCAUGGUUCGAAAUUGAAAGGCGGCUUCGGCUGUCACUUAUGGAUGGACCCGCGUCGCAUUAGCUAGUUGGUGAGGUAACGGCUCACCAAGGAAACGAUGCCUAGCCGACCUGAGUGGGUGAUCGGCAAAUCUGGGACUGAGACACGGCCCGGACUCCUACGGGAGGCAGCAGUAGGGAAGCUUCCGCAAUGGACGAAAGUCUGACGGAGCAACGCCGCGUGAGUGAUUAAGGCUUUCGGGUCGUAAAACUCUGUUGUUAGGGAAGAACAAGGGCUAGUUGAAUAAGCUGGCACCUUGACGGUACCUAACCAGAAAGCCACGGCUAACUACGUGCCAGCCGCCGCCGUAA